AGAACGCGGGUCCAGGUGGAUGCAGAGGACGCGGGCUUUGACUUGGCUGAGUGCUUCCAGGCUCCCCCACCGGGAUAAAAGCCUUCCCGUCUUCUGCCAGCAGCAUGGUCGUGUCCUGGCUUCCCCCAGCUAAGCCGAACGGGAUCAUCCAGAAGUACACCAUCUUCUGCGCCAGCCCUGGGUCCGGACAGCCGGUGAGAAGCCCAGACUGUUUGAUAGGGCUGCCCUUCCUCUUCCAUUGCACAGCUCCCUGCUGUUGGGUGAGAAAUCUUUUGGCUUUGAAAUGGUAUUUAGCUUGGUGAUGUUUAGGAAUUGGUUACAAAAGAAAUAAAAUGUGUA